GCCGCGUGUGUGAUACGGCCUUAUGGUUGUAAAGCACUUUAAGCGAGGAGGAGGCUACUUUAGUUAAUACCUAGAGAUAGUGGACGUUACUCGCAGAAUAAGCACCGGCUAACUCUGUGCCAGCAGCCGCGGUAAUACAGAGGGUGCGAGCGUUAAUCGGAUUUACUGGGCGUAAAGCGUGCGUAGGCGGCUUAUUAAGUCGGAUGUGAAAUCCCCGAGCUUAACUUGGGAAUUGCAUUCGAUACUGGUGAGCUAGAGUAUGGGAGAGGAUGGUAGAAUUCCAGGUGUAGCGGUGAAAUGCGUAGAGAUCUGGAGGAAUACCGAUGGCGAAGGCAGCCAUCUGGCCUAAUACUGACGCUGAGGUACGAAAGCAUGGGGAGCAAACAGGAUUAGAUACCCUGGUAGUCCAUGCCGUAAACGAUGUCUACUAGCCGUUGGGGCCUUUGAGGCUUUAGUGGCGCAGCUAACGCGAUAAGUAAACCGCCUGGGGAGUACCGUCGCAAUACUAAAACGCAAUGAAUUGACGGGGGACCUCCCAAACGGUGGANCNUGU
rnacentral:rRNA from 1 species